CGGACAGGGUCCUCCUGCAAUUCCCUCCAUCAGGAAGGAAGACAUUGCCGCCUUGCCCAAUGCCGCUCUCUUGCAGUGACAUCUUCAGCAGCGGCUUACCUUUCCAUGUGGUCACAUGAGGAACAGUUCUGGAGGAGUCAUAGUGUUCUGGUCUGUGGGUAGGCGCAAUCAUGCACAAAAGGAUGCUCGACAAAGACGCCAGGAGCAUCAAAAUGCGAAAAUGCGUUGGAAAGAGGUAACCAGAGGAACACACACAUCUGUCUUGCCAGCAACAUAAAGUCUGCAACCAUUGGGAGUGUAAAAUUAUCCCGGGGUUCCACUCUCCAAUAACUGGUGACUAUGCUGUUACCUGACCUAUGUGAGGUGAUGUGAAUAUGAUGUGAAACGGCCCUGCUUUUAUUUUUGGAUUUUAUGCGGAAAUAAAUGUAAUUAUAGUUUGACAUUU